UACAGAGGGUGCAAGCGUUAAUCGGAAUUACUGGGCGUAAAGCGUGCGUAGACGGUUACAUAAGUCGGGUGUGAAAGCCCCGGGCUCAACCUGGGAAUUGCAUUCGAGACUGCGUAGCUAGGGUGCGGAAGAGGGGGGUAGAAUUCCACGUGUAGCAGUGAAAUGCGUAGAUAUGUGGAGGAAUACCGAUGGCGAAGGCAGCCCCCUGGGAUAACACUGACGCUCAUGCACGAAAGCGUGGGGAGCAAACAGG
rnacentral:rRNA from 1 species